GUUUAUAUCUAAUGUAGGGGAUCUGACCGCACGUUAUCAGGACAGGCUCAGACAGCGCUAGGUUUAUAUCUAAUGUAGGGGAUCUGACCGCACGUUAUCAGGACAGGCUCAGACAGCGCUGGGUUUAUAUCUAAUGUAGGGGAUCUGACCGCACGUUAUCAGGACAGGCUCAGACAGCGCUGGGUUUAUAUCUAAUGUAGGGGAUCUGACCGCGCGUUAUCAGGACAGGCUCAGACAGCGCUGGGUUUAUAUCUAAUGUAGGGGAUCUGACCGCACGUUAUCAGGACAGGCUCAGACAGCGCUGGGUUUAUAUCUAAUGUAGG